UACGGAGGGUGCAAGCGUUAAUCGGAAUUACUGGGCGUAAAGCGUGCGCAGGCGGUUUGUUAAGUCUGUUGUGAAAUCCCCGAGCUCAACUUGGGAAUUGCAAUGGAUACUGGCAGGCUGGAGUAUGGUAGAGGAAGGUGGAAUUCCCGGUGUAGCCGUGAAAUGCGUAGAGAUCGGGAGGAACACCAGUGGCGAAGGCGGCCUUCUGGACCAAUACUGACGCUCAUGCACGAAAGCGUGGGGAGCAAACAGG
rnacentral:rRNA from 1 species